AGAGUUUGAUCAUGGCUCAGAACGAACGCUGGCGGCAUGCUUAACACAUGCAAGUCGAACGCUCCGCAAGGAGAGUGGCGCACGGGUGAGUAACGCGUGGGAACCUGCCUCUUGGUUUGGAAUAACUGCGGGAAACUGCAGCUAAUACCGGAUACGUCGGUUGCCUGUGGUGGGUGAUCGGGAAAGAUUUAUCGCCGAGA
rnacentral:rRNA from 1 species